rnacentral:rRNA from 1 species
UACGUAGGGUGCAAGCGUUAAUCGGAAUUACUGGGCGUAAAGCGUGCGCAGGCGGUUGUGCAAGACCGAUGUGAAAGCCCCGGGCUUAACCUGGGAAUGGCCGUCGAAACUGGCGAACUGGAGUGUGGCAGAGGGGGUGGAAUUCCGCGUGUAGCAGUGAAAUGCGUAGAGAUGCGGAGGAACACCGAUGGCGAAGGCAGCCCCCUGGGCUGACACUGACGCUCAGGCACGAAAGCGUGGGGAGCAAACAGG